CUCGAACCCGCGGCCGCCGCCGCGCCCCGAUGUGGCGGGAGCCGGCCGCGCUCGCAGCGCCCCGGCCGCGCCCGCGGCCCCGCGGGGACAGCCCCGGCACGGGCAGCGCCCCCGCAGCACGCCGAGCCGAAAAACUGUGAUCCAAGAGCACCACCAUGAAAGGUGAGGAAGUUCGGCAGAGGAGGAAAGAGGGCAGGUCCAGGAAUGGAGAGCGACCCCGGCACAGAGGAAAGAGCAAGGGUAAACACAGAGAGAGCAGACUUGGCAGCCAGGAGCCAGAGGAUGUCUCUCUGCAUGCACAGCAGAAGCUGCUGGCAGAGGAGAAAGCAGCCAUGGCAAAGUCACAGGAAGAGUCAGCAAUCUCAAUUUGCCUGCAAGUGCUCCUGCCAUACCUCCUGGCUGGGCUUGGCAUGGUCUUGGCAGGCAUGGUUUUGGAUUAUGUUCAGCACUGGGACGUGUUCCGGACCAUCACUGAAGUGUUCAUCCUGGUUCCUGCCUUGGUGGGCCUGAAGGGAAACCUGGAGAUGACACUGGCAUCCAGGCUCUCCACUGCUGCUAACACUGGACAGAUGGAUGAUGCUCAGAAGCAAUGGAAAAUGGCCACCUGCAAUUUAGCCCUUAUCCAGGUCCAGGCCACCGUGGUGGGGCUGCUGGCUGCUGUGGCUGCUGUGAUCCUGGGAGCCAUCUCCAAGGGCUCUGUGGAGCUGAGCCAGGCUGCUGUGCUGUGUGCCAGCAGUGUGACCACGGCAUUCAUAGCUGCACUUUCCCUUGGUCUGGUGAUGAUUGGUGUGAUCAUUGGAGCCAGGAAAGUUGGGAUCAAUCCAGACAAUGUCGCCACACCCAUAGCAGCGAGCCUGGGAGAUUUGAUAACCCUUUCCCUCCUGGCAGGAAUCAGCAGCACACUCUUCAAAUACAUAGAUGUGAAGUACCUUUCUCCACUGAUCUGUGCUGUAUUCAUUGUCAUGAUCCCUCUCUGGGUUGCCAUUGCCAAGCAAAGCCCAUCCCUGGCUGAAGUCCUGAAGUCUGGGUGGCAGCCAGUCAUUGUUGCCAUGAGCAUCAGCAGCAUUGGUGGGCUCAUCCUGGACAAAACUGUAACUGACCCAAACUUUGAAGGCAUGGCAGUCUUCACACCUGUGAUUAAUGGUGUUGGAGGGAAUCUGGUUGCCAUCCAAGCCAGCCGAAUUUCUACAUUCCUGCACUUCUGGAGCAUGCCUGGAGUUUUGCCAUACAAGAUGAGGCAGAACUGGCCUAACCCAUGCACCACAUUCUUCUCAUCAGGGGUGAAUUCCAAGUCAGCCCGGGUCCUGUUCCUCCUGGUCAUCCCAGGGCACCUGGUGUUCCUCUACACCAUCCACCUGCUGCAGGGAGGCCACACAUCCCUGUCCUUCACCUUUGUGAUGUUCUAUCUGGCUGCUGCUUUGCUGCAGGUGGGGAUCCUGCUCUACGUGGCUGACCUGAUCGUGCGCCUGAUGUGGAGGAAGGCUCUGGAUCCAGACAAUUUCUCCAUCCCCUACCUCACUGCCCUGGGGGACCUGCUGGGCACUGGGUUCCUGGCCAUCUGCUUCCGCCUGGUUUGGCUCAUCCACGGCACAGACAUGAACCAGGGCAACUGAGAGUCCCUGUGCUGCUCUCAUCCCCUGUGUGACACGGUGCCAGUAAUUUUCCAGAAACUCUGUGAAAUGGAGCUUCCUUACCCGGGACAAGCAAAGUGCCAGCCAGCAAACACAGUAAGUCUGAAAAGCCUCCUUCAAGGGAGACACUGCUUCCAAGACAUACUUUGAAUACACUUUUUUUUUUUUUUUCUCUUCAAUGACAGUCUAUUUAAUCCUCCAGCUGGUAAACAACCCAAUCUGUGGUGCACAGGAAAGUCUGGAAGGAAACCUCCUGAUCACUGAAGCUCCAUUUUGUUCCACUGGAAGGAGAAACUCAACAGCCUCACAUGAGCCAUGAGGGAUGGGGCCAGGAGCUCAGCAAACCCACAGCACAGGCAGAGCGCUCAGCACACUCACCAGGCUGGAGCUGCUGGAGGCACUGGGAGGAAGGGGCUGACUCUUCAUUAACUCCUGAGCCAUGCUGGGCUGUGGCAAAGCUCAACAGAGCAGCAGGGGAAGGUUUUCCUUCGGAAAGCUUUGGGUUUAAGCAGAGAGGAAGCCAAGUGUAUGACCUAAAUGGUUUGGAUUGUGGAUGUUGUCUGUGGGGAUUUUACAGAAGCAGCCCAAAGGUGGGUAUUUCUAAAGGCCCAAUUUCUAAAUGACCCAAACCACACCUUUACAGUGUCCUGCUUUCAGAAGCUCACAGCCAAGGCUGCAGGGCUGCAUUUGGUGCAUUGGUGUGUGUCUGGGCUGUUGAUUGGGUUGGUGGGUCAGGUCUGAUGGGGAUGCUAGGACAGGCUGCCAGUCAAACAGCCAUUCACAGCUGGGACCACCUCCCCAUUGCCACUGCUGCAGGAAAUAUUAGAAACCACCUGGCUGAAGAACAAAGCCCAGAGACUUCUGUUCCCUCACUUUCACACCAAAGAAAGCCCAAAGCAGUCCCCAGCCAGGCAAAUAUUGUCUAAACACCCACAGACAGCACAGCUGGGAGUGUUUCUGUCCUUGCCACUCACUGUGUAAUCAGUUCUUUAGAGGUACUGGCAGGGAACAGUAUUUAGGAAAAAUAAAAACAAAACCCAUCCAGAAAUCCAUCCAUUUAUGACCCUGCAUCUGACCUCAAAUUAUGAUUCAUGACCAAAAGCGAUGAAAAGAUCUUGAAGUGACUUGAACAAUGACUCUUCCAAGCUGAGGCAGCUCUAAGCAGGGAGCACAAGACUCCUGAGAAAGCAGGAGGAAUGCACUCCAAGCCUGAACGCUGCAGAUGAAAUUUGUUGCAUCAUAUAAUCUGUUUUUGUGCUUUGUGUUUCAGCUAGACAGGGAGAUACCAGGAUAGCAUGAGAAAGGCCAUUUCUUCAAGAUGUCCAGUGCAGAUUGGGAGAAUCAGUCACACUGCCAGGAUCACCAGCAGCUUCAUUUACUUUUCUUUUUCAUUGCUUUUGCUAAAGCCAAUCUCCAAUGGAGCAGGCAAGGAGGGAGUGUCAGCAUAUAGAUGCCAGUCAGAGGCAGAGAGGAAAAAGGUUAAGAUAUAACAGCUGAAAGUUGUUAGAUGGAAACACCAUUUUUUUUACAGAUACUGAGAGCACUGUGGUUUUAUAAAACCUCUCAUUGUAUUGCACUAAUAAGUCAAGCGUUUGCAGCCAAGCCAGCAGACACACUCCAUAGCAUCUAUUACUAGUGUGUUUAUUUACAAAGGCAGCCAGCAAGCCAAAGCCAAACAGAAAAGAGGAAAAACUGAAAUAUGGACUGGCUUUAAUUUAAAAUCCUAGGGCUCGGUUUGUCAUUUUCUUUUGUGUUUCACUCCCUUCUCCCUGUUUUUUCUUCAAGGAAUGAUUAUCCAACGGCAACCAGGAAAAGGACUGUUUCCCUCUAGGUGUCUCUCUUCCUGUUUUUAUCCUCAAUUUUUUCUCUCUAUCUCUUUCUCUCUCUCUCUCACACACACACACACACACACACACACACACAAACACACAGACUUUUCUGGCCUCCCAGUCCAACAUUACUUCUCCAUUACCACAGCAAUCCCCCACAUCCCAGCCCAGUGCUCCCCCAAACACUUUAUAACUUUUAUAAAGGGGCUGCACACAGUAGCAGCCCCUUUAUGCUGCCAUGGGCAGGACACUGGGGAUGAUGUGAUUUCAUCAGAGCAGACACCUGCAUCCAUACUGUCUGUAUGGUUUCACAAUUGUCACCUGCUUUCAAAAAAUGGGAGGUGUGGGGGAACACCUGGAUUUAAUGGUUUUGACCAGAAAUCCAGAGACAUGCACACACAGACACUCUGCUGUGGCAGUUCAGGGGAAAGCACUGAGGACCUGCUGCAAGCCUUUCCUCUCUGUCUCUGGAGAAUUUUGCACCCCAACUGAAAACGCAUGGAAGGAGAGGAACAAAAAAUCCCUCCAGG